rnacentral:rRNA from 1 species
AUGUGGGAUCAGAAAAAUUGCUUGUUGCUGGCGGCAAUGAUUGUUGGGGUGCUGUUCAACUUGUCAAUUGCAAUUUCCGAAGUAAAUCACGGUGGCAUUCAGAAAUGGUUAUUCCAGGAUUUCGGGUGUACAACAUCAGUCAACUCUCUGGGUAAGAAACUACCCAGGGUAUCCUAUUGCUCGCGUAGCUGGAGACAGUUAAAUACGAUUUAUUGUUAUGAAAUGAACAGUAGACUGGAAGCGAUUCCAACCUUCACCAACAUCCGUGUUUCUGUAGUGUCCAGCACUGGAACCAAAAACAAAAAAAACAGGUGA